rnacentral:rRNA from 1 species
CCUACGGGGGGCAGCAGUGAGGAAUAUUGGUCAAUGGCCGGGAGGCUGAACCAGCCAAGUCGCGUGAGGGAAGACGGCCCUACGGGUUGUAAACCUCUUUUGUCAGGGAGCAAGGUGCAGGUCGGGACCUGCUGUGAGAGUACCUGAAGAAAAAGCAUCGGCUAACUCCGUGCCAGCAGCCGCGGUAAUACGGAGGAUGCGAGCGUUAUCCGGAUUUAUUGGGUUUAAAGGGUGCGCAGGCGGAGGCCAAAGUCAGCGGUAAAAUCGCGGGGCUCAACCCCGAUCGGCCGUUGAAACUGUGUGCCUUGAGAGCACGUAGGGUAGGCGGAAUGCGUGGUGUAGCGGUGAAAUGCAUAGAUAUCACACAGAACUCCGAGCGCGAAGGCAGCCUACCAAGGCACAACUGACGCUCAUGCACGAAAGCGUGGGUAUCGAACAGGAUUAGAUACCCCUGUAGUC